rnacentral:lncRNA from 1 species
CAUGACUACUUAACAGGGGGAUUCACCGCAAAUACUAGUUUGGCUCAUUCGAGAUAAUGGCCUACUUCUUCACAUCCACCGUGCAAUGCAUGCUGUUAUUGAUAGACAGAAGAAUCAUGGUUUGCACUUCCGUGUACUAGCUAAAGCUUUACGUCUAUCUGGUGGAGAUCAUNNNNNNNNNNGGAGAUCAUAUUCACGCGGGUACAGUAGUAGGUAAACUUGAAGGAGACAGAGAGUAAACUUUGGGCUUUGUUGAUUUACUGCGCGAUGAUUAUGUUGAAAAAGAUCNNNNNNNNNNAAGAUCGAAGCCGCGGUAUCUUUUUCACUCAAGAUUGGGUCUCGCUACCAUACCACAAGGCUAUCUGAGUUCACAGGUUUAGUUGCCUGUACCUUUUUUUGAAUCGAUAUUUUUUUGGUGUUCAGUCUACCGCUCCGUGGGUACAAGAUCGAAAAGAAUGCAUUAAAUGGAUGCAUUGAGAUUCCGUAAGUAACUCAGUGAGUGCUUUCUAAGAAAGAAGGGCUUGGAAGAAGAAAAUGAAAUAGGAACAACCGCGCUGGUCGUAAUAGAUCGACUUUCAUGCNNNNNNNNNNAAUGAAAUAGGAACAACCGCGCUGGUCGUAAUAGAUCGACUUUCAUGCUGAAGCAAGAACUAGCAUGAAAGUUCCAUUUCAGGGAAGGACGACGGUACCAUGAUACUUUCUGUUUUGUCGAG